ACUCCUACGGGAGGCAGCAGUGGGGAAUAUUGCACAAUGGGCGCAAGCCUGAUGCAGCCAUGCCGCGUGUGUGAAGAAGGCCUUCGGGUUGUAAAGCACUUUCAGUUGUGAGGAUGAGGUGGUGUUCAGUUAAGUAGGCGCAUCAUUUUGACGUUUAGCAACAGAAGAAGCACCGGCUAACUCCGUGCCAGCAGCCGCGGUAAUACGGAGGGUGCGAGCGUUAAUCGGAAUUACUGGGCGUAAAGCGCAUGCAGGUGGUUUGUUAAGUCAGAUGUGAAAGCCCGGGGCUCAACCUCGGAACUGCAUUUGAAACUGGCAGACUAGAGUACUGUAGAGGGGGUAGAAUUUCAGGUGUAGCGGUGAAAUGCGUAGAGAUCUGAAGGAAUACCGGUGGCGAAGGCGGCCCCCCUGGACAGAUACUGACACUCAGAUGCGAAAGCGUGGGGAGCAAACAGGAUUAGAUACCCUGGUAGCUACG
rnacentral:rRNA from 1 species